rnacentral:rRNA from 1 species
UACAGAGGUCCCAAGCGUUGUUCGGAUUCACUGGGGGUAAAGGGUGCGUAGGCGGUCGGGUAAGUCUGAUGUGAAAUCUCACAGCUUAACUGUGAAACUGCAUUGGAUACUAUCCGGCUCGAGGAAUGGAGGGGAGACUGGAAUACUUGGUGUAGCAGUGAAAUGCGUAGAUAUCAAGUGGAACACCAGUGGCGAAGGCGAGUCUCUGGACAUUUCCUGACGCUGAGGCACGAAAGCUAGGGGAGCAAACAGG